ACUCAAAGGAAUAGACGGGGGCCCGCACAAGCGGUGGAGCAUGUGGUUCAAUUCGAAGCAACGCGAAGAACCUUACCUGGGUUUGAAAUGUAGUGGUAAGCCUCAGAGAUGAGGUCCCCUCUUCGGAGGCCGCUGCAUAGGUGCUGCAUGGCUGUCGUCAGCUCGUGUCGUGAGAUGUUGGGUUAAGUCCCGCAACGAGCGCAACCCUUGUCCAUAGUUACUAACGGGUUAUGCUGAGAACUCUAUGGAGACUGCCGGUGAUAAACCGGAGGAAGGUGGGGAUGACGUCAAGUCCUCAUGGCCUUUAUGUCCAGGGCUACACACGUGCUACAAUGGACAGUACAAAGAGUCGCGAAACCGUGAGGUAGAGCUAAUCUCAAAAAGCUGUUCUCAGUUCGGAUUGUUCUCUGCAACUCGAGAGCAUGAAGCUGGAAUCGCUAGUAAUCGCGGAUCAGAACGCCGCGGUGAAUACGUUCCCGGGCCUUGCACACACCGCCCGU
rnacentral:rRNA from 1 species